rnacentral:rRNA from 1 species
AUUGAACGCUGGCGGCAUGCUUUACACAUGCAAGUCGAACGGCAGCGCGGGGCAACCUGGCGGCGAGUGGCGAACGGGUGAGUAAUAUAUCGGAACGUACCCAGAAGUGGGGGAUAACGUAGCGAAAGUUACGCUAAUACCGCAUACAAUCUACGGAUGAAAGUAGGGGACCGCAAGGCCUUAUGCUUUUGGAGCGGCCGAUAUCUGAUUAGCUAGUUGGUGAGGUAAAGGCUCACCAAGGCGACGAUCAGUAGCUGGUCUGAGAGGACGACCAGCCACACUGGAACUGAGACACGGUCCAGACUCCUACGGGAGGCAGCAGUGGGGAAUUUUGGACAAUGGGCGCAAGCCUGAUCCAGCAAUGCCGCGUGAGUGAAGAAGGCCUUCGGGUUGUAAAGCUCUUUUGUCAGGGAAGAAACGGUAGAGGCUAAUAUCCUUUGCUAAUGACGGUACCUAAAGAAUAAGCACCGGCUAACUACGUG